rnacentral:lncRNA from 1 species
AGAAAUAUACAUAUAUCGCUUUUUGAUAAAUAUUUUUAUAAGAACAAAGAGUCAAAGUUUGUAUAAAAAGCUAUACUUAAUUUCUAGCAUUAAGAGUACCUUGUAUCAAUUUAAAUUGAGUAGUCGGUGCAAGUGCACGAGGGUGUGUAUCUAAUCAAACUCACGACUCGGACCACUAAUAUUUAUGCCACGUCCACCAACUACGUUUAUUUCAAAGUCAGUCGCUGUUGCUGCGCGUAAUGACGGAGCUAAUAACAAGUAGCGUACGUGCAGCCCUCCCAUCCUCCCAUUCCCAUAUCUACAGUAGUCCACAAGAAUCAUACAUGCAGGUCGUACGAAGCUAGACUGUAGAAAUCAGGUCGGCACGGAAUGUAGUAUCUCCCUAGAUAUAGAUAGCCGUCCAAAUCACGCUUGGAUGUAUAAGAGAAGACUCCAUGAAUAAUGGAAGCAUCAAGGCGAGAAAUUAAAGUCGGACAUUAAUAAUGAAGCUUGGCCCCACUUGGUGCCUUGCUCCACAUACUCUAUUCGAGUCCAAGUCAAAAUCUCCUUACCAUGGAGAACGAAGGACAGUUCCGUUCUCGAUCAAUUUAAUUAGCUGCCACGUAUAAGAGCAAGUACAACAAAUUGGUUUAUAACCAAAGCUAAUUGAUAUCUUUGGUGAUAUGGAAGAGAAAAAAAAUAAGAAAGAAGAGAGUUUGACUCUCAUACAUGUAACAAGCUGGGCACGUAAGUAUAUAAACACCAGUGGAUCCCGUGAUGUAAAUGAAAGCAAUAGAAAAGAGAGUAAAAACAUAUAAUAAUAAAGAAAUUUUGUAAAUAAAUAGAAAACAUAUAACCAAAUACUUGUCUCUAUUAUUGACCAUGCUGUGGCUAGCUAGCAGUCUUGGUGUUCUUCCAUGCAUUACUAUGAAAUCGAGUGUUCCUUGGAGAUCAGGUAAUCACGCUUGCAUCUCAUACACUAAUUAAGUGCAAUACUACCAAUAAUUUUACUAUCCUGCUUCCAGAGGAAAUCUUCUCUUCCCCGGUCCACAUCUGAUUUUUUUGGUCAAAAAAAUAUAACUAUAAACUCGGACGAGACAAAUCUCUUUCGUGCUCUAAUUUUAGUUAUUAUCAAUUGAGUAUAUGAUAGUCGCCAAAGAAAUCAAUUGAGUAUGAUACAUCUACACUAAAAGAAAAUAAAACAAGAUCGAGACAGUUGCUGAUAUAUUAAAAAGAAAUAACCUUUCAAUAACCACAUCAAAAAACAAAUUCAACAAAAAGGGAAAAAAAUUCUAAUCAGUCGGAUUGGAACAUCGAUACUAACCGCAUAAAACUGAAGCUCAACUCAAAAAAGAAGAACCACCGCCAACUCCAUCCCACAAGCAGAUCAGGACACUCCAGCCACGUAGCCCUUCCCACUAGCCCUUCCCACUAGUACAGGAAGGGGCUUUAGUCUCGGGCCGUAAGCGCCUUUAGUCCUGGCUACGGAACCGGGGCUAAGGUUUCAGCACUAAAUAUCCCACCUUUAGUCCCGGUUCCGUGGACCGGGACUAAAGGUCCACCUUUAGUUCCGGUUGGUAACAGCAACCGGGACUAAAAGGUGCGCCAGAGUGUGCCACUUGGCCUCCACUUUUAGUCCCGGUUGUUGCUACCAACCGGGACUAAAGACUUUUUUCUUUUUAUUUUUUUCUUUUUCUUUUCAUUUGGUUUUCCAUUUAGAUUUUACAAUUAUGUUAUUGUUAUUUUCGAAUGCGUAUUGUUUGCUGGUAGUUUAUGGAACGCGCACCUAUAAUUUAUAUAAUUUAAAGGAUUACAUAUAAAUAUACUAUAAAACACUAUAUAUAUAUAUAUAAAUAAUAUGUAUCUAUAGGUCCAUAAUAUAAUAUUUACACAUAUGCUUCACGGACAAAGUAUUUACAACACAAUUUAUCUCCGCCACUCAAGCAUCGUACAAAUGAUCAUCGUUAUUUGGUUUCAUCUGCUCCUGAGGGUUGAAGUAGCACUCGCCGCCGGGAUCCAGGACUUGGUCGUUAAGAAAUCCUACGAUUGCCUCUUGAAUUCCUUUUAGGCGCACCGUAUCCAACACCUGCUCCUUCAUCCACAUCUCCUUUAAUAGACAUUAAAGAAAAAAGUUAGAGGUGUGAAUAGGAUUUAUUAAAUAGCAACAAAUAAAUGAAAUAAACUUAUUAUAUAUACAUGUUACAUACUUUUAGGUGCUCAAGAUUAGUUCUUUUGGCAUACACCGUCAUAAACUCGCACACAUAGUAGCCACACAAAUUGUUGUCCGGUGUCUGCCGUAGAACCCACUGAAGUAAGAUGGGCUUUGAAAGUGCUUCAUUCAACUCUAGAUGGUGUUUCUGCACGAACCCAGCCCAAACCCUAGCAAUAAAACGAUCAUUAUUAAUUAUCCAUUACCAAGUUAAAAGAGCAGAAUUUAAUAUAUAGAGAUCGGAGUUACCCUUGAAUAAUAUCUAUCAUUUCAUGGUAAUCGUCCUGUGGUUUUCUCAAUGAGUCAUAGAUUACCAAUUGACAUUGCCAGAGAUCAAUGACAAUUAGUAUCCAAUGAAAGCUGCAUUUGUGUGCAUAUGUAGGCAAAAUUAGUAUAUAUCUUCAUAUUGAUCUGAUUAAUUAGUUAAAUAGAAUGUACACACGAUAACGACACUUACUUAAAGUUGUAGGGAAAGAGUAUAUAUCUUUUAUCUUUUUGGUUGAUCAAGAACCUCCAUAGAUUUCUCUCCGUUUGAGUUCUCCAUAAAACAUACGGGGUCUUGUGGUCUUUGAAUACAACAUUUGGAUCCACAAAUCCAAUCUCCUUGUCAUUUCUAACUCUGAGGUCCCUCAUCAUGUUUCUGCAUAUGUAUAGCGGGUUUUUGUAAUUAGUUAUAUAUAUACAUGAUAAGUUACAGAGACAUUAUUGAAAGGAAGAAUCACUUACAGACAGAAGCAACUCAUUAGAGAUUUGUCAAGAGCGUCCAUGUGGCAUAGUUGG